rnacentral:rRNA from 1 species
UUUAAGUAUAAAAAGAAAUUAUUAUGGAAUUUUAGCUAUAUGUUAAAGAGAAAUCAUUAUUAAUAUGAUUAUAUUAUUAACAUAAUAUAUUCAUAAAAAUAUAAACUCUAAGAGAAAUUGAAUAAUAAACGAAGUGAAUUGAAAUAUCUUAGUAACUUCAGGAAAACAAAUCAAAAGAGAUUCCACAAAUAGUGUGAACGAAAAUGGAAAAGUCUAAAAAGUAAAAUGGUAUCUAAACAGUUUGAAUACUAUGGGGAACCUUCCUCAAAGACUAAAUAUUAUAGAUAAGCUAUAGAACAAAGUACCGUGAGGGAAAAAAUUGAAAUAGUGAUUUUAGAAGCAGUUUGAAAUAAAAAACGUACCUUUUGCAUAAUGGGUCACCAAGUUAACAUUAGAUGCGAGAAAAUACGUAGUUAAACCGAGCGUUAAAAUAACGGUAUAGUGUCUAAAGUUAGACCCGAAGCCUGGUGAUUUUACCAUAAUCAGGAUUAUAAAAGUCCGAACGGGUUAUCGUUGCAAAGAUAUCCGAAGAAUUAUGGUAGGUGUAGUGAAAGACAAUACUGACCAGGAUAGCUGGUUUUCUGCGAAACCUAUAACAGUAGGCAAUUUAAGUAUAAUAUCUUAGCAGGUACAGAAUUUAAUCUCAGACAAGACAUAAGGCUUAACUUGUUAACAAGUUAAGCCCAUGUUUUAUUUUGUACAAAUUGGGGGAUCAUGAAGAUUUUAUCAGUGAGUAUGUAGACUCGGAAUGGCAAAGAUAUAUCUUAAAUCAUCAGACAUAGAAUGAUAAGGUUGUAUGUCAAAAGGGAAACAGCCCAGAACAAGAGUUAAGGUUCCUAAAUUAUUAGUUGAGUGAAAUUAAGAAGGUUUUUAUUAAAGUCGACAAGGAGAUAGGCUUAGAAGCAGCCAUAAUUUUAUGACCUCGUAACAGAGCGCUUGUUAAGUUUUAAAAGCAUCGAAAAUUUAACGGAUCUAAACAAUAUACCGAAACCUUGUCCAUAUAAAAUAAAAUAUAUUUUUAAUUAUAUGGGGUAGCAGAACGUUGAAUUAUGUUAAGACUUUUAUUUUUUAAAUAAAAGUAACUAUUUUUAUAUAAUUAAUUUUAGUGAAAAACUAGAAUUAGCGAUUUAUAAAAAUGAAAAGUCAAAUUCAAGUGAGAAUGGUGACAUGAGUAACUAAAAGAAAAAUUUAAUUUUUCCGCCUAAAGCUUAUGGAUGACAUUAAGUAACGGCCUCUAAGUUUAUAAUUAUCUAAAGGUUUAAACGAUGAGAAAUCUUUAUUACUAAGGACAACAUUUUAGUGGAAAAUGUACUGGAAAAAUAGUAAUAUCAUGAAAUUCCUGCAAAGGAAGUAAUAAUGAUACCAACCGUACCUAGAUUCUGAAACAAGUAAGCUAGUAGAGAAUACGAAGGCGUAAAUGAGCUAACAAUCAUAAAGGAACUCGGCAAAUUGACUACCGUAACUUCGGGAUAAGGAGAGCUCAUUAUUCUUGAUUAAUAUCAGGUAAAGAGGAAGAAGCAUGAAAUAGUGUUGUACGACUGUUUAAUUAAAACACAGCACUUUGCUGAAAGAUUAAAAAUCUAAGUAUAGAGUGUGAUGUCUGCCCGGUGCCGGCUGGUUAACAGAUAUAAUUAAAUAUACUAAUAUUUGAUGUAGACGGAAACCCCGGUUAAAGGCGGCCUUAACGUGAGGGUCCUAAGGUAGCGAAAUGCCUUGGCCGUUAAAUGCGGUCUUGCAUGAAUGAUGUAACGAUACAACAGCUGUCUCUAUGAUUGACUCAGUGAAAUUGGAAUAACUGUGCAGAUACAGUUUACCUCUAGUUAGACGAGAAGACCCUAUGCAGCUUUACUGUCACUAAUUAUAGAGUAUGAUAAACAAUUUUCAGAUUAUAAGGUAAUCGAUCUUAGAUUAAAAUGAGAAACCUUUAUUUUCAUUUCAUUUGAAUGAAUUAAUUUAAGACUAUAGUAAAAAUGAAUACAUAAAAAAAUGGAUGUCACAAGCACCGUUUAUGUUAUUUAUUUAUUGUUAUUAUCGUAAUAAAUUAACCUAAUUCAGCUUAUUUGUGCUUAUUAUUAAGGUAAUAAGUAUGAAUAAGUUCCCUUUGGUGAGGAAAUAUCGUUAGGAGACAGUUUAUGUGGGGCACAGACCCUGUAAAGAGUAAACAGGAGUGUCUAAUAAUUUUUUUAACAUUUAGUUUGUAAUUUUUAAUAGUUAUUUAUUAUAAUUAUUAUUGAUCAUAUUUAAUUAAAUAUAUUUAUAGAUUUUUAUAGCUAUAUUUAAAAUAAGGUAGGAUUUUUACUACAUAGAAAGUAGAGAUAUUCAAAGU